UACGUAGGGGACAAGCGUUGUCCGGAAUCACUGGGCGUAAAGCGUGUGUAGGCGGUCGUGUAAGUCGUGUGUGAAAUUGCUUGGCUUAACCAAGCAACUGCGCUCGAAACUGUGCGACUUGAGUACGAAAGAGGAAAGUGGAAUGUAAGGUGUAGCGGUGAAAUGCGUAGAUAUCUUAUAGAACACCUGUGGCGAAGGCGGCUUUCUGGUUCGAUACUGACGCUGAGACACGAAAGUGUGGGGAGCAAACGGG
rnacentral:rRNA from 1 species